rnacentral:rRNA from 1 species
AUUGAACGCUGGCGGCAUGCUUUACACAUGCAAGUCGAACGGUAACAGGCCUUCGGGUGCUGACGAGUGGAGAACGGGUGAGUAAUGCAUCGGAACGUGCCCAAUCGUGGGGGAUAACGUAGCGAAAGUUACGCUAAUACCGCAUAAGCCCUGAGGGGGAAAGCAGGGGAUCGCAAGACCUUGCGCGAAUGGAGCGGCCGAUGUCAGAUUAGCUAGUUGGUGGGGUAAAGGCCUACCAAGGCGACGAUCUGUAGCGGGUCUGAGAGGAUGAUCCGCCACACUGGGACUGAGACACGGCCCAGACUCCUACGGGAGGCAGCAGUGGGGAAUUUUGGACAAUGGGCGCAAGCCUGAUCCAGCCAUGCCGCGUGCGGGACGAAGGCCUCGGUU